rnacentral:rRNA from 1 species
UGCUCGGUAACUGGGGUGAAGUCGUAACAAGGUAGCCGUAGGGGAACCUGCGGCUGGAUCACCUCCUUUCUAAGGAG